AACACCUUAAAGCUUUUGAUUUUUUUUUAAAAGUUUUGGACUUGAGCAAUCCCAACACCGGUCUUUUACAGAUCGGCGGCGGGUUGCUUGAAAUGCAGGUGCAGCUGGACAUUCUCCUGAGCUAAAAGCAUAGUCCCGUCAAACGGAUUAUUACUUUUGCUGCACCAAAUAUAAAGGGAGUUUGGCCGUUUUGGCUGACUGAUGCAGGAUUUCACAAGGGUCGGCAACGAUUCUUGUAAA
rnacentral:misc_RNA from 1 species